rnacentral:rRNA from 1 species
UACGGAGGGUGCGAGCGUUGUCCGGAAUCACUGGGCGUAAAGGGCGCGUAGGCGGCGCGGGGAGUCAACGGUGAAAGCUCGGCGCUCAACGCCGAGUCGGCCGUCGAUACUCCCGUGCUCGAGCACUGUAGAGGCAGGUGGAAUUCCGGGUGUAGCGGUGGAAUGCGUAGAUAUCGGGAGGAACACCUGUGGCGAAAGCGGCUCACUGGACCACAACUGACGCUGAGGCGCGAAAGCUAGGGGAGCAAACAGG